rnacentral:misc_RNA from 1 species
GAUGAAGAACGUAGCGAAACGCGAUAUGUAAUGUGAAUUGCAGAAUUCAGUGAAUCAUCGAAUCUUUGAACGCACAUGGCGCCUUCCAGUAUCCUGGGAGGCAUGCCUGUCCGAGCGUCGUUUCAACCCUCGAGCCCCCGUGGCCCGGCGUUGGGGAUCUGCCACGGCAGGCCCCUAAAACCAGUGGCGGACCCGAAGGCCCUCUCCUUUGCGCAGUAGCAUCAGCCUCGCAUUGGGAUCCCUCGGCGUCCUGCCUCUAAACCCCCCACAAGUCCGCUCCGGCGGCACCAAGGUUGACCUCGGAUCAGGUAGGAAUACCCGCUGAACUUAAGCAUAUCAUAAGCGGAGA